CAAUAGCGUAUAUUAAAGUUGUUGCAGUUAAAAAGCUCGUAGUUGGAUUUCGGGGCAGCCUGGCUGGUCCGCCGCAAGGCGAGUACUGGUCAGCCGCCCUUCCUCUCGAAAGCCCCGACUGCUCUUCGUUGCAGUGGUCGGGUAGUUCGGGACGUUUACUUUGAAAAAAUUAGAGUGUUCAAGGCAGGCCUACGCUCUGAAUACAUUAGCAUGGAAUAACACGAUAGGACUCUGGCCUAUCUUGUUGGUCUGUAGGACCGGAGUAAUGAUUAAGAGGGACAGUCGGGGGCAUUCGUAUUUCAUUGUCAGAGGUGAAAUUCUUGGAUUUAUGAAAGACGAACUACUGCGAAAGCAUUUGCCAAGGAUGUUUUCAUUAA
rnacentral:rRNA from 1 species